rnacentral:rRNA from 1 species
UACGUAGGGGGCAAGCGUUGUCCGGAUUUAUUGGGCGUAAAGAGCGUGUAGGCGGCCAAGCAGGUCCGCUGUGAAAACUCGAGGCUCAACCUCGAGACGUCGGUUGAAACCGUUUGGCUAGAGUCCGGAAGAGGAGAGUGGAAUUCCCGGUGUAGCGGUGAAAUGCGCAGAUAUCGGGAAGAACACCCGUGGCGAAGGCGGCUCUCUGGGACGGUACUGACGCUGAGACGCGAAAGCGUGGGGAGCGAACAGG